CCCUACGGGGGGCAGCAGUGGGGAAUAUUGCACAAUGGGGGAAACCCUGAUGCAGCAACGCCGCGUGAGUGAGGAAGUAUUUCGGUAUGUAAAGCUCUAUCAGCAGGGAAUAGAAAAGAAGGUACCUGAAAAAGAAGCCCCGGCUAACUACGUGCCAGCAGCCGCGGUAAUACGUAGGGGGCAAGCGUUAUCCGGAUUUACUGGGUGUAAAGGGAGCGUAGACGGUUAUGCAAGUCUGAAGUGAAAGCCCAAGGCUCAACCAUGGGACUGCUUUGGAGACUGUAAAACUGGAGUGCAGGAGAGGG
rnacentral:rRNA from 1 species